GGUUAAGCGACUAAGCGUACACGGUGGAUGCCCUGGCAGUCAGAGGCGAUGAAGGACGUGCUAAUCUGCGAUAAGCGUCGGUGAGGUGAUAUGAACCGUUAUAACCGGCGAUUUCCGAAUGGGGAAACCCAGUGUGUUUCGACACACUAUCAUUAACUGAAUCCAUAGGUUAAUGAGGCGAACCGGGGGAACUGAAACAUCUAAGUACCCCGAGGAAAAGAAAUCAACCGAGAUUCCCCCAGUAGCGGCGAGCGAACGGGGAGGAGCCCAGAGCCUGAAUCAGUGUGUGUGUUAGUGGAAGC
rnacentral:rRNA from 1 species